CUACUUCUGGGAGAUUGGAAGGCAGCCGCAGGAGCCCUUUCCUGGGAUGCCCCAUUGGCAGGCUGGGCACUGUGCAAGUACCUGAGUAACUCAGAACAGCUUCCUGAUGCUCAGCAAAGCAGCACCUCUGUUGUGAAGGUAUUUUGCUUUCUGCCAGGAGCAGUGAAUGAACCACUCCAGCUAAACUAUGAAUUACAGCUCCAGAAUGAACAAGGAUCCUGCAAAGCAGCACCUGACUGAAUCUUUCCUUUGCCUCUCUGCUGAGGGACAGUCAAGGGGGAAAAACAUCUUGUUUGUUUUUCAUGCAAGUGGCAUUUCAGACAGAAAAAAAAAAGUCUGAGAAGAAAAGGAAGAAUCAGGUUUGGAUUUUAUAGUGCCUUAAAAACCCCCCACUUUAUUAAACCUGAAUAAUAACUACUUUACAACCAUAUAAAUACUUGCAAUGGAGGCCACAUUUACACAUGUCCUGUGUAGAAGAACUGAGUCACUGCUUAAACACGACUAGAAGCUGUGGUGAUAUAAAGCUGUAGUUUGGCUUGUUUCUUUUCUUGGAUUCUCAUGAUGACGAUUCCUUCCAGAAACACCUAAUUCCAAAUCUAUAUCAUAUCUUCAUUAGUCCCCUAAUUACUUGGCUGAAUUAAACUGUUCAGGAAAACUCACCUCUUUGCACACUGAGGAGAGUAGAAAAAUAAAUAAUGUAUUCUUUGGGAUGUAGAGCGCUGUCUGCUGUGCUUGUGCUUUAAAAGAGAAAGCUGACUUUCUGUCUGCUCCAAACUCCUCUCCACAGAGAGGUCUUCCUGGAACAAAGUUUCCUAUAUGUUUCAAAGCUGUAAAUUUUUAGGUUCUGGAUAGCUGAUCUAAGAGAAACCAUCUGCCUUCUCCUUCCUGCACCAGGAGACAGAGACAACUAUUCCUGUACAAUUACAUUAUUAAAUUACUCUUUUUCGCCUAUCUGCACUUCUUCUCAGUGUCAGUGGGAAAAGCCAUUUCUUUCCUAACAUAAAAACAGCUGGAUGAAGUCAUUUUGUCAGAGCCAUAGAGUCACCUCUCUACAAAGGGAUGAAAGAGGGAAACAAAGGCAGGCUUUUGGAAAAUGUCAUGGAAAUGUCACGGGCUGUCACAGCUCCAGCUGGGCCAUAGCAGUGGUGGAAGUAAUGGUGCUCACACAAGUGGUACCUUACACUUUUGAUCCUAUAGUAGCACCCAAGCUGAAACCUUUGUGUGAACAGCUUUUCUACACCCCAGCCUAACACCAUGCAGAAGAGCUGCCAGCUCAGGAUAAGCUCCCCUGCUGAUGAACCUUCUCUGGCAGAGACAAGGCCUUUGUGGUGCUGUGACAAACAUCCUGCUCAAAUCUGAGGGAGCCAAUGGAAGCUUCCCAAGAAGCCAAAGAGAUCUCCUGUAACAUAUGGGCAUGCUGACAGGGACUGUACAGAUAUCCUCAAAUUCCAAAACCUGAGGUCCCUGCCAUGAGCUGAUCCCUAUUACUGGGCCAGAUGGCCAGCUUUUCUCAUCUGCAAUUCCUCUUGUUUUUCUGACAGCUUUUAGUAGGUCAGGUGCCAGAUAAUAUUCCUGCAAUGUGUCAGGCCUCCCUUGACAAUACCAGUGUCCAGCAGAAGCAAAGCAUCCACAGAUCUGAUUGUUGUACUUCCAAGCCAAACUGGGAGCUGGGCUCCCUAGAAAAUACAACCAUCCCAGCAAGAGCUGAUAAAAAACAUUCAGAGGAACCUUAAUGGUUGUUCAUAAAUCCCUAGAGAUUCAUGAAGCACAGUUUGAAAGCUACUGCACUAAGAAGUGAAGGACAUAGCUGUGGCAGCCUCAGGAGCCACCCCAGCACAUUGCCAGGAUGCCAAAGAGCUGCCAGCCCUGCAGGUGUGCCCGUGACUCCAGCUUCCUGGAUUCAUUCCCCAUGCCUUUGCACAGAGGCAGGGGAGAAGCCAGCCCACGAACUUGUAGUGUACACCAGCAUCGUUUCGUGUUUUGCUGCAUCACAGCACAACUGCAGAUUUCCUCAGCAGCCUUUGAUUCUAAAUGUCAGCGACUUCGGCCAUUGGGUUUCUUAGGUGCUCCUCGUUCCCUUCGGGAGAGCUGCCAGGUAGCACAAGGUGACCCGUAAAGCACCGGGAUUAAUGGCAGUUACCUCAGUGGGGAUGGUCAAAGAGGAGAGGGCGUUAGAUAAGAAAAGCUGAUCCCACCUCCACUCUCUGCCCUCGUUGCAGACACACACUGAGGGCAUUUAAGUGUGCCCAGUCCUCAGCUCUUUGCCCGGAUUUUAGACCAGAGAGAUUCUGGCCACGCUUCUACCUCGGGCGAGGGCUGUUCCGGGUGGCACCAAGCUCAGGGCAGAAGCUGGCUGGCUUUUCCCCGUUCCCUUGAGAGUUCCACUCACCUCCCCUAAGGGAGGGGCCGUUUCUUGAGGCGCGGCCAGGCUCCGGCCACUCGUCCUCGCUCGGCACCAUGUACAGGCAUAUCCCCGGAGCAAACACAGAAACAUCUCCUCGAUCCCUGGAGGGUUUCCACCUCCUGCCGGCUCGGGUGCCGCAGCCACAGCAGCCAAGCCCAGCCCCGAUGAGCAGUUGUGGCUGCUCAUCAGCCAUAACUUCGUGGCCCCCCUUUCCCCGUUCCCCCAGCCUCGGAGCACCGCCCGCCCCCUUAUCCCCCUCAGGGGAAGGGGAAGCCUUCCCCCGGGACAGCGCGAUCCCAGCGGGCCAUUUCCCCGAUCCGAGCGGGAGAUUUACCCGAUCCGCUGGGCAGCCCCUCACGGCCGCUCCCGCCUCCCUCCCUCCCGCAGCUCCGCUCCCGCCGGGAUCCUGCUCUCGGCGUGUGGCUCACUUCUCUUCCGCGAAUUUCUCUCCUCCCUCUCGGGCGCUGAGGGUGGGAUUAAAGGCAUCAAAGACCAAACAUGUGACUCCGCCAGCACGGGGAUGCUCAAGGAAGGGGAAGGGGAGAUGGCCGGAGGGGGUCACCGCAGACUGGGGAGACGAACGGUCCCUGGAAGCAAGCUCAGGAAUAAAUCCCAAGCCCCAGGGGGACGCCCGGGGCGGUGGCGGCUGCGCAGCCGGAGCUCCUCAUUCCUGCUCUGCGGUCCCUGAACGCUCCGCAGGGAGCGGCGGGACAACUGCAGGGGCAGCGCAGCUCCCCCGGCCCUCCCCAGCCAAGAUGUCACAUCUGCCCGGUGUCACCACGGCCGCGUGUCACCUUCAGUGGAUGUCACUUGUGCCGGGUGUCCCCUCUGCCCGAUGUCGCUUCUGCUAGGUGUCCCCGCCAGCUCCCGCGCCUCUGGGGCGCUGCCCUACCCCGCUGGCAUAUGCUGGAGGUUCCGGACCCCUCGCCUCACUCCCGGGAGGGGAGAGGAUCACCAGAGUCCGCAAACUCGAGCAGAAAGUGUCAAGAGUCACCAGCAGGUUCUUUACGUGCGUCUCACUUCUGACAGGUAAAAGCUUUCUCAGUCUUCAGCAAAGUCUUCUCAUGUGUAUUGGCUGAAGUGGGGAGGCUUAGCAGCUACACAAAGAUUUAUAUCAGCCUGUUCAGAUUCAGACAUUUUAUCAAACUGCCCCAAGAUUGCCUCUGACUGGUUCACUCUCCCACCCCCCAGUGCUUUUCACUGUGUCCCACUUUCCUGCUCUUGUAUACACUCACACCCUUCAGCCCUGUGACCAUAAUACCUAAUUAACUGGUUACCUGAAAGAUGCUUCAGGGAAAGUUCACUGUCUGCCAUUGUAGGAACUCCUUGGGUUUGUCCCUGCAGCUCCAGAAAAUGCAAGUCCAUGUAUCUGGGCUAAACUGUUUUCAGGCUCAGACCUCUCUUACAUCUUAGAAGGAUCUUGGGAGGGAAAAAAAAAAACAAAAACCAAACAAAAACUACCAAGAGAAAAAUCCCUUAGGUCCUUUCAGUAAAAUACCUUGUUCUGUUGAGCACAGCUAGAAUUUUGCUAGUGUCCAGUCCUGUAAUCAGAAGCUUCUAGUAUGAUAUAUGUUAAUUUUAAGAUAGCAAUUUCUAUUAUUCCCCCUUAUAAGCAUGAUGAACAAAGGAAAUCAGCUUUGCGUGCCUGUGAUCCUUAUUCUUCCUCCUGGCAAAACUGUCCCACAACUAGGGCUUUUUAUUGCUGAGACAACAUGGAAGAAGAGUGGAAAUCCAGAGGAACAGUAAUGCCCAAAAUAAACAACACAUUCAAGCACCAGUUGGAUUCUGUAAUGACUUUCUGGAAACAGGUUAGGCAUGCUGGAAAGUCCAUCAGCUUACUAAGAUGCAUGUUACUCUCCCAAAAUAAUAAAUCAUAUUUUCUCAGAUUAUUUGCUUUCCCAAAUCCUUCUGUCUUGUUUUGAAAAGACAGGUGUCUUUUCAAUAACAGUUCUUUAUUAGGAACGAAAUUAAAAAAGAAUAAAAUAAACAAUGCAGUGAUACAAAACAACACUGACAGAGUCAGGAUAUAGCCUGACACCCUGUUGGUCAGGGGGUUGGUAGCAAUCCAAUUGAAAUGGUGGCUGCCAUCCUCCUGGAGAGGCAGAUAUGGUUCUGUUGAAGCAGUGAUCCUGUAGAAGGGUGUGGUCUUCCUCUGAAGAUCCAGUGGUGGUGUAGAUGGGCCUGGUCUUCCUCUGGGAAUCCAGUGGAAAAGGCAGCUGCUUCUCUGGGAAUCCCGUGUAAAAGGCUGGCUGUGGUCUUGCAAAUCUCUGAUUAUACCCAGGUAGGUAUGCCUGGCUCCUCCCCCUGGGCAGAGCAUCUCACAAUGGGAGGAUGUAAUUUUAUCAGUCAUGCAGUGAGACUCAAUGGCACAUUAACAGAAGAUAUUUCCCAGAGAGAGGAUUGGUUGUGGAAGAGAUAAAGAAAACUGUCCAAUUAACAGAAGAUAACUCUACAGAUAGGAAUAGAAUACACACACCCAUUUCCAACCUAAGACACCCUCUUUGCUGACCACCUCUGCCUCUUUUUCUGUUUUUAACGACAGUGAUUUAUACUCUACCUUCUACUUAAAUGCUCUCAAGACUGUAAAAGUUGAUGCACUGAAAGCACAGCAGAUCCUGGAAUAGAGCAGAGAAAAAAGAAAGUACUGGAGGUGGAAAAAAGAGUAAACAUUCCUAGGAUGUCCAUUACUGUGUUCUUCCCAGGAUAAGAGUUGCAGAAUUUUUAAAAACAAAAAAAUUUUUUUUUUCAACUUCUGUUUCAGUGUGCAUGUGGGAGAGUGACUAUUGAGCAGCAUCAGCAGAAACACCACACUGCACCCAGGAUUACAUUUUGGAUGAUGUUUUAGCCAGCAGAAUUUAUUACAAGGAACAAUCAAAAAAAAAAAAAAAAGGAAAAAAGAAAAAAUAAGAAUGGGCCAGAAGGCCUUUUUUUUAGAAAUAAAUAUGUAGAUAAUUGUAAUUUUUUGUGAUUUCUAUUCAGUCUUCCCAGCUCCCUCUUUGCUCGCUUGCAUGCUUUUCAGGGUACACUUUCAUCCUUAAACAAUUAUUUCUUUGAACAGGUUCUGUUAGACCCAAAAGACUGAGGAAGAAGAGUCUCAAGUGAUUUUGGGGCAGUGGCAUAGAAUGACAGUGGAAACCUGUCAUUCUUGACUACUCAUCCAUUCUUAUGAUGGUGCUGUCUCCUGCUGUGCACGAGCACAAGGGACACUGAUGUAGCUGAAAAAUAAACUUUUUCUUCUGAUACCUGAUGAUUGCCUGGUUAUUCCCGUACUGUCAGCUGCACAAUGGAUAUGUUCUCCUUGUAGGUAUCUGCUGUUCACUUCAAAGGUUAACUUUGAUAAUAAUGCUUUUC